UAUUUUUGAAAUGGUAGCAUAAAUGUUUCAAGUAUAUCGAGUUGUCAAUCUAAUCUAACCUAACCUAAUUUAACUAAUUUUUCUAGGUUUAUAUAAUAAUAUUUUAAAGUGUUUAAAGAAAAAUAGAAAUAAAGAAAAGAUUCAUGUCCAGAUGGAGAUAUACAUAUUUAAUAUUUGAUAUAUAUUCACAAGAUCCAGUCUCUGGCCAUAAAAUGGAAAACCUGAAUCGAGAUGGCUGAAACUCAAAUGACAAAAAGAAGGUCAAUGACUAGCGAGUUUUUUUGCCAGAAUCAAGGCGGUCUAAUUGAACGAAUCGUGGAAGGUGUGUAGUCCUAACGAUAAAAGAAAAUAACUUGGGAAGUAUUUAUGCAAAUACGCGCCUUUGCAUGGUGCAUGCAAAUCAACUUUAUCGAAGGUGGCACGACACGAAGGUAGUUCACCCUUUCGCGGAAGAGACGUCUCUUCCCUCGAUUGGCCGCGUUUGGCGGGAGCGAAAACGCGAUUACCUUAAAGCCCCUCCUCCCACGAGGCCCUUCCUCGCGGCGUGUCGCCCCGCGAGAAAUGGAAUCGAAUAUCCGGCUUGAUUCUCACCGAGACCUAAUUAUCGAUCGGUGGAAAGGCCGGGAUCCUCAACAAGCACAACAUUGAUUUACGGAUGUGUCGUAUCCCCGUGCAAAGGGAUUCCUCGUACAUUGACUCACGGGCUGGCAGCCGUGCUAAAUGCAGUUGCAACUCUGCCCCUGGCUCUGUUCCAGCUCUGUACAACUGUAUUCCGCCUCGAUGGAUUCGGUAAUCGAGCCGAACUUUGGCCCCAACGACCGGAAACAAUGUUCGAUCAUACUCGAAUCUUUCCGAUGGAAGAACACUUUUUCCCUUUAAUUUUCGAUUAUUUAAUUCGAGGAAUGGAGGGAAGAGGCGAAUGGAGAAAAGGUAGGAUGGAUUUUGCGCGCGAAGAAAUAGAGGAACGUUUGUGAGUAGAGGUAGAAAGAAGACUUUUUAUCAAUUUUCGAUUUGAGGAAAGCAGGGAGAAGAGGA